GGAAGAGACGCAUCCCUUCCCCUCUUGGACGACAAGUCUCAUCUUGCCCUGUCGAGCUUACUUGGAGUCACCGCUGAAGACUGAAGGUGGCCAGGGCCCCCAGCCCCAUCGCCCAUCACCAUCUCAGAGCCCAGGGUAAUGCUACUAGAGGCAGGGAAUACUGGGUAUCUCCCACCAAAGCCCAACUAUCCACCCAACAGUCACUUACUUGGAAACUCAGCUCUCCCCCACCCAGAGGACCAUCAGAGCAGAUUGAACCGCUCUCAUUAGAGAUCUCACCCCUCCUAACACAAAAGGCCUGUGAGUUCCUGCGGAAGAGUCACAAGCCUCCACCAACCUCACGGCUGGUGACAAGGACCUGCUAUUUUCUGUAAGAGAUGGUGUUGGUGAUAAAUGGCAGAUCAGUACUGUAGAUCUGUGUUUCCUACGCUGAGUGAGGCUGCACCCCUGACAGGCCCUGAUUGUGCAGCCUUCCAAGGUGACUUUGAAGCAACACACCACCCUCUCAGAGCAGCCCAGAAUGGAGGCCCUGGUGAAGAAUUCCCCUAGGGAAUUGAUAAAGGGACCGUUUUUUAGGAAGUUUCAGAGCAAAGGGUGACUUCCUAUUAGGAACCCUAUAAUUGGGGGAAGAGGUUUCUUUGAUCUUCAAUAGGGAAUCAAAAAUCUCCCCCUCUGACUAGAAAAUGACAGUGAUUAAAAAACCAAUAAAAAUAAAGUUUCUUUUCACCACUAUUAAAAAGAAAUUCUUAGUGAUCCUUGCCUGUGUGUUCUUCUAAAUAUACCUUAAGAUCAUUUUGUAAAGUU